rnacentral:lncRNA from 1 species
GGGAAUUUAGAAUGGUACUAAGUACGAUCUGAAAAUCCACCACCUGUUUUUGACACACACAAUAGUACACAAAUCAACACAACAAAUGCUAAUAAACAACACCGCACCUACGCACAAUUCCAACCCGUCGCGAGCGACAACUCUCCCCAUCACCACCAAACUGCAGCGGCGCUGCUUGAUAAUUUCAUAACUUUAAAAUUAUAACAGCAGGGAUAUCAAUCAAAAACUCCGGAAGCAAUUACAUAAAAUUCCCCACAAGUUUUAUAUUCAAAUGAUAAUUAAAUUCCAACCCCUAAUUAGCCCAAAACAGUCCACAAGAUAAACCCUGCAAUCUGUUUUUGGACAGCAGCAUACCCGGAUUCAAACAACGAUAUCUCCUAAAAUAUAACUUCGAAUCGAGCGUAUAAGUACUCGUUGAAAAGGUAUGACAAAGAUCUACAUGAUUAUCAUACUGAUUAUCACUAAUCACACACGAAAAAUCCCCAGAAACUGCAAAUACUACUGUUGUUCGCCCACCUGCAAAAUCUGUUGUUUUGGACAGCAACAUACUCGGAUUCAAACAGCGAUAUAUCCUAAAAUAUAACUCCGAAUCGAGCGCAUAAGUACUCGUUGUAAAGGUAUGACAAAGCUCUACAUGAUUCUCUCACUGAUUCCCACUAAUUACACACGAAAAAAUCCCAGAAACUGCUAGAACUACUGCUGUUCGCCCACCCACAAAAUUUCUGGACAGCACCUCUACCAAUUCGCAUACGUAAACAUCUAAUCGAUUAAAUUACAGCACAAAUAAACAAGAGUUAAUCACAAAAUCACCUUGACUUCUCCCCCUUUGCUCCCUCCUUCUUCCUUCCACCAAAUUCCAAUUGGAGAUUUGCACCCACGCGACGUAGAUCAAGCGGGAGGGCUGCACCUAGGAGAGGAGGAGAUGGGGGGGGGGCUAGGGUUUGUGGGAUGGUGGCUGCAAGAGUUUGAGGGAGGAGGAGAUGAGAG